GAUUGCUACAAGAUUAACCUGGAAGAUGAACUGAUCUGUUUAUCGAUCCAUUUUUAUCAAUAUAUCAGGUGAAAUACCUUGAUUUAGUAUACGUGAAACAGAAUUAAAUCCCUUCAGACAGGUGUGCUUUUACACAUUAAGAAAUGUUUGCAGCCGAUAUUUAGCUGUAGUUUUACUUUUUAUUUUACACCUGCAACAGAAUGUUUCUGGCGGAUGUGUGGGACAGUGUGUGUUUUAACACAGUAGUUGGAAUUAAACCAGACCGCUAUCAGUGCUUAAGGAAGAUGUCUCAAUUAGGCUUCCAGUUGGAAGGAACCAAUUGAAAGAGGAAAGCAGACAGAGCCAAAUGCUGCUGAUAGCUUGAGCCUAUCUGAGUGAAGGCAGGCAGCAAGACUGUAGACCGCAGAGGAGGGGGAUAAAGCAGAGAGGGCUGAGCUGGGAAAAAGCAAAGGAGACUCUUCCUACUGGUUUUAUUUGAACAAUUCAGAGGCAGGGUGGCCAUUGGCAAAAUCACUGCCGCUGGGGAUACUGAAUUCCUCCCACAACGCACUUGCUAGGCCAGAGCUGGAGAAAACCUGACACCUGCAAAUCCUUGAACUCUGUCUGCAGGAGAACAGCAGGCUGUGCUGGAUGCACGCUGUAAAGAGCAGCUCUUUCAUCCCUUUGUAUCAAAGAGAGGCAUGAGGCAAAGGGAGGAGCAUGUACUGUAUGUAACAUGCACACACAGCUGCUCAGCAGGAAGGGCAGGAGCGUCAGACCUCACAAGAAGCACAGCCUCACUAGUCUGUCAUCAGAAAUAUGCACAGAGAGCACAGGACAAACAGAGAAGGCCACAGCUAGCGGGCUAUGGGAGAGACCAGAGCUCAACCAGACCAAGAAGGAAGACCAACUUAAACCACAGAGUUCGGUGCUCAGUUUCCUCAUGCUCUUCAGAAGAGGGAGUCUCUGAGGGUGACAUCAUCACAGCCUCAGAAAGGUGGACCUCACACAGAGCAUGGCCAAAACCUCAGACAACUUCUGACUGUGCAGAGAGGCUGGCAAGCACUUUGGGGAAAUGA
ensembl:lincRNA